CCUACGGGUCGCACCAGUAGGGAAUCUUCGGCUAUGGACGAAAGUCUGACCGAGCAACGCCGCGUGAGUGAAGGAGGUUUUCGGAUCGUAAAACUCUGUCGUUAGAGAAGAACAAGUAGGAGAGUAACUGCUCUUACCUUGACGGUAUCUAACCAGAAAGCCACGGCUAACUACGUGCCAGCAGCCGCGGUAAUACGUAGGUGGCAAGCGUUGUCCGGAUUUAUUGGGCGUAAAGCGAGCGCAGGCGGUCUUUUAAGUCUGAUGUGAAAGCCCUCGGCUCAACCGAGGAAGGUCAUUGGAAACUGGAGGACCUGAGUGCAGAAGAGGAGAGUGGAAUUCCAUGUGUAGCGGUGAAAUGCGUAGGUAUAUGGAGGAACACCAGUGGCGAAGGCGACUCUCUGGUCUGUAACUGACGCUGAGGCUCGAAAGCGUGGGGAGCAAACAGGAUUAGAUACCUCGGUAGUC
rnacentral:rRNA from 1 species